rnacentral:rRNA from 1 species
GAUGAACGCUGGCGGCGUGCUUAAUACAUGCAAGUCGAACGAAGCACCUUGGACAGAAUCCUUCGGGAGGAAGACCAUUGUGACUGAGUGGCGGACGGGUGAGUAACGCGUGGGUAACCUGCCUUGUACAGGGGGAUAACAGUUGGAAACGACUGCUAAUACCGCAUAAGCGCACAGUAUCGCAAUGGUACGGUGUGAAAAACUCCGGUGGUACAAGAUGGACCCGCGUCUGAUUAGCUUGUUGGUGAGGUAACGGCCCACCAAGGCGACGAUCAGUAGCCGACUUGAGAGAGUGAUCGGCCACAUUGGGACUGAGACACGGGCCCAAACUCCUACGGGAGGCAGCAGUGGGGAAUAUUGCACAAUGGGGGAAACCCUGAUGCAGCGACGCCGCGUGAGCGAAGAAGGUAUUUCGGUAUGUAAAGCUCUAUCAGCAGGGA